GUAACCACCAUGGGGUAGGAAGCCCAGAAAUUUCUCCGUCACUGAAAAGGAAGACUGGAAACGUGAGUGGCUGCUCGCUGUUCCGCGUGUCUCCCGCCUAGCACUCUGCAUACCUGCUGUUAGUACUCAGGCUUCUGUACCGGCCUCUCCCUGGGGUUCUGACAGGAUGCGCCCUCAGCUGCAGCCACUACGAGGCCACCUGUGCACACUCACUGUCAUGAAACCUCUGGACAUCUUUUCUCCCCCAUUCUCUUCGCUAGAGCCUCAGAGGAAGGGGUGCCAGAAGACCCAGCAGCCAUCCUGUUUGUAAAGAUGAAAAGCUCGCACUAAAUGUGACAGAACAGAAAGAUGCGCCUCAGUCCCUGAUAACUUCAUGAGGAAGCAUGGAGACAGCCCUGGACUCCCUUCCUCCGGCUUCGUAAUGUGAGAGAAUAAAAACGAUCAUUAGACAAGCCUUCAGCAGUCAGGUCCCACACAGCCGCCAGCCCAUACCUCAGCCUCAUCGGCAGAAACCAUGCGGAGAAGCUCAGGGGACAACACAAAGCUGGGAAAGGACGAAUUCAUUGUUCAUCAUUAACAUCUUUUCAACAACAACUCCAAACAGGUCAGGGAUGCAAGCAGGUGCAGGUUACAGUCAGACGACGAGAAAGAAAGGGAACCACAUGAAAGCCCGGCGGAAAGCCAGCAACCAGGUGACGCCAGGGUAUCUAGGUCAGAGACCCUGCACAUGGCUUGGUCCAUGCCUCUGAUGGGAAGAUGCUCCCCUGUACCUCUUCCAGGUUGCGGAACUCCUGACGCAGGGCAGUCUUCAGAUCCAUACACUCUCUCCCGCAUCUCAGCGCUACCAGACAUUCCUUGGCUAAGUGAGGGACCUAGUCAGAGGACACAGGUUCUUAGUGGAGGUGUUUGUGAGAACCGUCCUGAAAGGCACUGACGCUUCCCAGCUCCGGCACAGGGGGAGUUGGCCACAUGCGAAUGUCCCCGUCCUUGGCCAGGGGCUCCCAAGAGCUCCAUGCUUCCAAGAUCCACUUCUCACAGCAGUUGAUCAAGCCGAGAGGGCUUUAGCAGGGUUCUCAGUGCCCCCUGCUUAAUCACCUAGUCCCACGCUGUACACUCUCGGGAGGCAGUCAUUUAGCCUCUUCAAGUCUCAGUGUUCCUGUCUGAAAAAUGGUUCCAGUAACAGUACCCCCUCCCAGGGCAGGCAAGGGAGGGAAUCAAUAGUUACAGAAGGUUUGGAAUAUCCUGAAUGUUCAAGAUAUGUCAUUAAUUAAUAGUGUAAUUAGUGCUAUUAAUGGCAUUAAGUUGAGUACA